UGAACGCUAGCUACAGGCUUAACACAUGCAAGUCGAGGGGAAACGGCAUUAAGUGCUUGCACUUUUUGGACGUCGACCGGCGCACGGGUGAGUAACGCGUAUCCAACCUUCCCAUGACUAAGGGAUAACCUGCCGAAAGGCAGACUAAUACCUUAUGGUCUUCACUGACGGCAUCAGAUGUGAAGUAAAGAUUUAUCGGUUAUGGAUGGGGAUGCGUCUGAUUAGCUUGUUGGCGGGGUAACGGCCCA
rnacentral:rRNA from 1 species